CCUACGGGGGGCAGCAGUGGGGAAUAUUGGACAAUGGGGGCAACCCUGAUCCAGCCAUGCCGCGUGUGUGAAGAAGGCCCUCGGGUUGUAAAGCACUUUCAGUGAGGAAGAACGCCUGGUGGUUAAUACCCAUCAGGAAGGACAUCACUCACAGAAGAAGCACCGGCUAACUCCGUGCCAGCAGCCGCGGUAAUACGGAGGGUGCGAGCGUUAAUCGGAAUUACUGGGCGUAAAGCGCGCGUAGGUGGCUUGAUAAGCCGGUUGUGAAAGCCCCGGGCUCAACCUGGGAACGGCAUCCGGAACUGUCAAGCUAGAGUGCAGGAGAGGAAGGUAGAAUUCCCGGUGUAGCGGUGAAAUGCGUAGAGAUCGGGAGGAAUACCAGUGGCGAAGGCGGCCUUCUGGACUGACACUGACACUGAGGUGCGAAAGCGUGGGUAGCAAACAGGAUUAGAUACCCCUGUAGUC
rnacentral:rRNA from 1 species